GAUGAACGCUGGCGGCGUGCCUAAUACAUGCAAGUCGAGCGAACAGACGAGGAGCUUGCUCCUCUGACGUUAGCGGCGGACGGGUGAGUAACACGUGGAUAACCUACCUAUAAGACUGGGAUAACUUCGGGAAACCGGAGCUAAUACCGGAUAACAUGUUGAACCGCAUGGUUCAACAGUGAAAGACGGUCUUGCUGUCACUUAUAGAUGGAUCCGCGCCGCAUUAGCUAGUUGGUAAGGUAACGGCUUACCAAGGCAACGAUGCGUAGCCGACCUGAGAGGGUGAUCGGCCACACUGAAACUGAGCCACGGUCCAGACUCCUACGGGAGGCAGCAGUAGGGAAGCUUCCGCAAUGGGCGAAAGCCUGACGGAGCAACGCCGCGUGAGUGAAGAAGGUCUUCGGAUCGUAAAACUCUGUUAUUAGGGAAGAACAAAUGUGUAAGUAACUAUGCACGUCUUGACGGUACCUAAUCAGAAAGCCACGGCUAACUACGUG
rnacentral:rRNA from 1 species